CCUACGGGAGGCUGCAGUGAGGAAUAUUGGUCAAUGGACGAGAGUCUGAACCAGCCAAGUAGCGUGAAGGAUGACUGCCCUAUGGGUUGUAAACUUCUUUUAUAUGGGAAUAAAAUGUUCCACGUGUGGGAUUUUGUAUGUACCAUAUGAAUAAGGAUCGGCUAACUCCGUGCCAGCAGCCGCGGUAAUACGGAGGAUCCGAGCGUUAUCCGGAUUUAUUGGGUUUAAAGGGAGCGUAGGUGGAUUGUUAAGUCAGUUGUGAAAGUUUGCGGCUCAACCGUAAAAUUGCAGUUGAAACUGGCAGUCUUGAGUACAGUAGAGGUGGGCGGAAUUCGUGGUGUAGCGGUGAAAUGCUUAGAUAUCACGAAGAACUCCGAUUGCGAAGGCAGUUCACUGGACUGCAACUGACACUGAUGCUCGAAAGUGUGGGUAUCAAACAGGAUUAGAUACCCUUGUAGUC
rnacentral:rRNA from 1 species